UACGUAGGCAGCGAGCGUUGUUCGGAAUUACUGGGCGUAAAGAGUGCGUAGGCGGUGCUCUAAGUCUGGUGUGAAAUCUCCCGGCUCAACUGGGAGGGUGCGCCGGAAACUGGAGUGCUCGAGUAUGGGAGAGGUAAGCGGAAUUCCUGGUGUAGCGGUGAAAUGCGUAGAUAUCAGGAGGAACACCUGUGGUGUAGGCAGCUUACUGGACCAUGACUGACGCUGAGGCACGAAAGCGUGGGUAGCAAACAGG
rnacentral:rRNA from 1 species